rnacentral:rRNA from 1 species
CUUACGAGUAGGGCUACACACGUGCUACAAUGGCAGAUACAGAGGGCAGCGAAGCUGCGAAGUGGAGCGAAUCCCUUAAAGUUUGUCGUAGUCCGGAUUGGAGUCUGCAACUCGACUCCAUGAAGUCGGAAUCGCUAGUAAUCGUGGAUCAGAAUGCCACGGUGAAUACGUUCCCGGGCCUUGUACACACCGCCCGUCACACCAUGGGAGUGGGCUGCACCAGAAGUAGAUAGCUUAACCUUCGGGAGGGCGUUUACCACGGUGUGGUUCAUGACUGGGGUGAAGUCGUAACAAGGUAGCCCUAGGGGAACCUGGGGCUGGAUCACCUCCUUACUGA